UGCCAGCAGCCGCGGUAAUACGGAGGGGGCAAGCGUUGUUCGGAUUUACUGGGCGUAAAGGGUGCGUAGGCGGCGCGACAAGUCACUUGUGAAAUCUCCGGGCUUAACUCGGAACGGCCAAGUGAUACUGUUGUGCUAGAGUGCAGGAAGGGCAACUGGAAUUCUUGGUGUAGCGGUGAAAUGCGUAGAUAUCAAGAGGAACACCUGAGGCGAAGGCAUCUCUCUGGGCCGAUAUUGGCGCUGAGGCGCGAAGGCGUGGGUAGCGAACAGGAUUAGAUA
rnacentral:rRNA from 1 species